rnacentral:rRNA from 1 species
GGAAUAUUGGACAAUGGGCGAAAGCCUGAUCCAGCAAUGCCGCGUGUGUGAAGCAGGCCUGCGGGUUGUAAAGCACUUUUGGCCGGGAAGAAAAGCUCGGGGCGAAUACCCCCGGGUGUUGACGUCACCUGCAGAAAAAGCACCGGCUAACUCUGUGCCCGCAGCCGCGGUAAUACAGAGGGUGCAAGCGUUAAUCGGAAUUACUGGGCGUAAAGCGAGCGUAGGCGGUCAGGUAAGUCGGUUGUGAAAUCCCCGGGCUUAACCUGGGAAUUGCAGUCGAUACUGCCUGGCUAGAGUGUGGAAGAGGGAAGCGGAAUUUCCGGUGUAGCGGUGAAAUGCGUAGAUAUCGGAAGGAACACCAGUGGCGAAGGCGGCUUCCUGGUCCAACACUGACGCUGAGGCGCGAAAGCGUGGGUAGCGAAC